rnacentral:misc_RNA from 1 species
ACAAACUUGGUCAUUUAGAGGAAGUAAAAGUCGUAACAAGGUUUCCGUAGGUGAACCUGCGGAAGGAUCAUUACUGAGGUUACCGGGGGUGAGUUUCGAGUGGUUUGUUGCUGGUGCUCUUCGCGGGGCGCAUGUGCACGGCUCUCUUUCUCGCCUUCGUUCCUUCUAUCAACCCCUGUGCACUUCAAUAGGAUUAGAGCGAAGCGCCCUGUUUAGGGAUCAGCCUAGUAGUAGUGGGUCCGCCCGCGGCGAAAGGUUAAUCUGUUAUCGGCAGCGCGUAGUAGUUCGAACUCCUUAUUAUUACAAACCACUAUAUAUGUCAUGUCAGAAUGUUCAGUCCCUCGUUGGACGCUAAAUGAAAUACAACUUUCAACAACGGAUCUCUUGGCUCUCGCAUCGAUGAAGAACGCAGC